AUCCAGCCGACGAGUCCCAAAUAGGACGAAACACGCUUCCUGGAU
rnacentral:hammerhead_ribozyme from 1 species